rnacentral:misc_RNA from 1 species
CCGGUCUCCUGCGUUGCGUACCCACGCGAUGGCAUUCGUUAUUGUCCCAACGACCCUCGUUCUUUGAGAGCUUCCCGUUCUGGCGGGGCACAAGACGAAAGAUGCAGCUUGGUCCGUUACCCACGUCGCGUCCGGCUGUCGUGGUGAACGGGGCGCGGGUCAAGCUCUCGGAUACGGAAAGCCUUGAGGGCAUUGACAUCUCAUCCUUGCCCGAGCAUGCAUUAGACCGGACCUUAACAACGGCGCACGACCGUCGCUCCCGCCUCGGGUUCGGCCGUGCGGGCAGGACGUCGUUGAGGAGUGCUACCUGGUUGA